rnacentral:rRNA from 1 species
CAGUCGCCGCGGUAAUACGAAGAGGACUAGCGUUGUUCGGAAUCACUGGGCGUAAAGCGCACGUAGGCGGAUUUGUAAGUCAGGGGUGAAAUCCCGGGGCUCAACCUCGGAACUGCCUUUGAUACUGCGAGUCUUGAGUCCGAUAGAGGUGGGUGGAAUUCCUAGUGUAGAGGUGAAAUUCGUAGAUAUUAGGAAGAACACCGGUGGCGAAGGCGGCCCACUGGAUCGGUACUGACGCUGAGGUGCGAAAGCGUGGGGAGCAAACAGGAUUAGAGACCCGCGUAGUCCCUGUCUCUUAUAC